rnacentral:rRNA from 1 species
UACGGGGGGGGCGAGCGUUGUUCGGAAUUACUGGGCGUAAAGGGUUUGUAGGUGGCCUGCUAAGUCAGACGUGAAAUCCCUCAGCUUAACUGGGGAACUGCGUCUGAUACUGGCGGGCUUGAGGACAGGAGAGGAACGCGGAAUUCCAGGUGUAGCGGUGAAAUGCGUAGAUAUCUGGAGGAACACCGGUGGCGAAAGCGACGUACUGGACCUCUUCUGACGCUGAGGCGCGAAAGCUAGGGGAGCAAACGGG